rnacentral:lncRNA from 1 species
CUCUGGUGUCAGGGGCGAGUGGCCCGGGUGGCUCAGCCCGAGCCUUCUCUUUGCAGGCGCUGCAGCUGGAAACAUACAAAUUCAUGAAGAUGCGCGCGGAGCCUAGAGCACUCGGGUAAGCAGCAGAAGCACGGGCAAGCAUUUGGGAACGCCUGGGGGACCCCACAGCUGUACAGGGACGCGUGGCGCGGCUGCCGACACAUGCAGACCCGCGCACGGCGGCUGUCGGGACCCGGAACGAAGGUGUGAUGCGUAGGUGAUGGCAGAGGCCGGAGGGACACGGCCACGGCCACGCGGGGAGAGUGGACAGUGCGCAGGGCAGGACGGCAGCAGCGGGAAGGCUCCCGUGGCCCAGAGCCACGUCGGGGAAGCGCUGCCCGCAGGAAUGGUGACCAGGCUGUACGAGGCAUGCGCAGGGUUGACCUGGCCGGGAAGGCGCAGGCGCCCGGCCAGCACGUCUCCAGGAGCAGUUCACUGUGUCCCUGUCGCA